rnacentral:rRNA from 1 species
UUCCCACCGCAAGGGUAAGACCCCAGAAAGACUAUCUGGUUGAUAGGUCGAAGGUGUAAGUGCAGCAAUGUAUUUAGCUUAUCGAUACUAAUAGGUCGAGGACUUGACCAAUAUUUAUU